rnacentral:snRNA from 1 species
GUGCUUGCUUCAGCAGCACAUAUACUAAAAUUGGAAGAAUACAGAGGACAUUAGCAUGGCCCCUGCACAAGGAUAACAUGCACAUUCAUGAAGUGUUCCAUAGUUUU